GACGAACGCUGGCGGCGUGCCUAAUACAUGCAAGACGAACGAACUCUGGUAUUGAUUGGUGCUUGCAUCAUGAUUUACAUUUGAGUGAGUGGCGAACUGGUGAGUAACACGUGGGAAACCUGCCCAGAAGCGGGGGAUAACACCUGGAAACAGAUGCUAAUACCGCAUAACAACUUGGACCGCAUGGUCCGAGCUUGAAAGAUGGCUUCGGCUAUCACUUUUGGAUGGUCCCGCGGCGUAUUAGCUAGAUGGUGGGGUAACGGCUCACCAUGGCAAUGAUACGUAGCCGACCUGAGAGGGUAAUCGGCCACAUUGGGACUGAGACACGGCCCAAACUCCUACGGGAGGCAGCAGUAGGGAAUCUUCCACAAUGGACGAAAGUCUGAUGGAGCAACGCCGCGUGAGUGAAGAAGGGUUUCGGCUCGUAAAACUCUGUUGUUAAAGAAGAACAUAUCUGAGAGUAACUGUUCAGGUAUUGACGGUAUUUAACCAGAAAGCCACGGCUAACUACGUGCCAGCAGCCGCGGUAAUACGUAGGUGGCAAGCGUUGUCCGGAUUUAUUGGGCGUAAAGCGAGCGCAGGCGGUUUUUUAAGUCUGAUGUGAAAGCCUUCGGCUCAACCGAAGAAGUGCAUCGGAAACUGGGAAACUUGAGUGCAGAAGAGGACAGUGGAACUCCAUGUGUAGCGGUGAAAUGCGUAGAUAUAUGGAAGAACACCAGUGGCGAAGGCGGCUGUCUGGUCUGUAACUGACGCUGAGGCUCGAAAGUAUGGGUAGCAAACAGGAUUAGAUACCCUGGUAGUCCAUACCGUAAACGAUGAAUGCUAAGUGUUGGAGGGUUUCCGCUCUUCAGUGCUGCAGCUAACGCAUUAAGCAUUCCGCCUGGGGAGUACGGCCGCAAGGCUGAAACUCAAAGGAAUUGACGGGGGCCCGCACAAGCGGUGGAGCAUGUGGUUUAAUUCGAAGCUACGCGAAGAACCUUACCAGGUCUUGACAUACUAUGCAAAUCUAAGAGAUUAGACGUUCCCUUCGGGGACAUGGAUACAGGUGGUGCAUGGUUGUCGUCAGCUCGUGUCGUGAGAUGUUGGGUUAAGUCCCGCAACGAGCGCAACCCUUAUUAUCAGUUGCCAGCAUUAAGUUGGGCACUCUGGUGAGACUGCCGGUGACAAACCGGAGGAAGGUGGGGAUGACGUCAAAUCAUCAUGCCCCUUAUGACCUGGGCUACACACGUGCUACAAUGGAUGGUACAACGAGUUGCGAACUCGCGAGAGUAAGCUAAUCUCUUAAAGCCAUUCUCAGUUCGGAUUGUAGGCUGCAACUCGCCUACAUGAAGUCGGAAUCGCUAGUAAUCGCGGAUCAGCAUGCCGCGGUGAAUACGUUCCCGGGCCUUGUACACACCGCCCGUCACACCAUGAGAGUUUGUAACACCCAAAGUCGGUGGGGUAACCUUUUAGGAACCAGCCGCCUAAGGUGGGACAGAUGAUUAGGGUG
rnacentral:rRNA from 2 species